rnacentral:rRNA from 1 species
AGAGUUUGAUCCUGGCUCAGAUUGAACGCUGGCGGCAUGCCUUACACAUGCAAGUCGAACGGCAGCGGACCUUCGGGUGCCGGCGAGUGGCGAACGGGUGAGUAAUGUAUCGGAACGUACCUUUCAGUGGGGGAUAACGUAGCGAAAGUUACGCUAAUACCGCAUAUUCUGUGAGCAGGAAAGCAGGGGAUCGCAAGACCUUGCGCUGAUUGAGCGGCCGAUAUCAGAUUAGCUAGUUGGUGAGGUAAAGGCUCACCAAGGCGACGAUCUGUAGCGGGUCUGAGAGGAUGAUCCGCCACACUGGAACUGAGACACGGUCCAGACUCCUACGGGAGGCAGCAGUGGGGAAUUUUGGACAAUGGGGGCAACCCUGAUCCAGCCAUGCCGCGUGAGUGAAGAAGGCCUUC